GACGAACGCUGGCGGCGUGCCUAAUACAUGCAAGUUGAGCGCUCAAGUGUGGUACUUGUACCUACUGGAUGAGCAGCGGACGGGUGAGUAACGCGUGGGUAAUCUGCCUUUGAGCGGGGGACAACAUUUGGAAACGAAUGCUAAUACCGCAUAAAAACUUUAAACACAAGGUUUAAGUUUGAAAGAUGCAAUUGCAUCACUCAAAGAUGAUCCCGGGUUGUAUUAGCUAGGUGGUGAGGGAAAGGCUGACCAAGGCAACGAUACUUAGCCGACCUGAGAGGGGGAACGGCGACAGUGGAACUGGGACACGGUCAACACUCCUGCGGGAGGAAGCAGUAGGGAAUCGUGCGCAAGGGGCGAAAGCCGGACGGAGCAACGGCGCGUGAGGGAGGAAGGUCUUCGGAUCGUGAAACUCUGUUAUUAGGGAAGAACAAAUGUGGAAGUAACUAUGCACGUCUUGACGGUACCGAAUCAGAAAGCCACGGCUAACUACGUG
rnacentral:rRNA from 1 species